rnacentral:misc_RNA from 1 species
UACGGAGGGUGCAAGCGUUGUCCGGAUUUAUUGGGUUUAAAGGGUGCGUAGGUGGCCUUAUAAGUCAGUGUUUAAAGACUGCAGCUUAACUGUAGAAGUGGCAUUGAUACUGUAAGGCUUGAGUAAAGUUGAGGUAGGCGGAAUUGAUGGUGUAGCGGUGAAAUGCAUAGAUAUCAUCAAGAACACCGAUUGCGAAGGCAGCUUACUAAGCUUUAACUGACACUGAUGCACGAAAGCGUGGGGAUCAAACAGG